GCGCGAAAACUUUACAAUGCUGGCAACAGCGAUAAGGGAACCUCGAGUGCCAGGUUACAAAUCUGGAUGUCGAGAUGCCUAAAAAGCAUUUCAUAGCAAGGGCCGGGCAAGACCGGUGCCAGCCGCCGCGGUAACACCGGCGGCUCGAGUGGUAACCGUUAUUAUUGGGUCUAAAGGGUCUGUAGCCGGCCGGAUAAGUCUCUUGAGAAAUCUGGCAGCUUAACUGUCAGGCUUUCAGGAGAUACAGUCUGGCUCGAGGCCGGGAGAGGUGAGAGGUACUUCAGGGGUAGAGGUGAAAUCUUGUAAUCCUUGAAGGACCACCAGUGGCGAAGGCGUCUCACCAGAACGGAGCUGACGGCAAGGGACGAAAGCUAGGGGCACGAACC
rnacentral:rRNA from 1 species